rnacentral:rRNA from 1 species
GAUGAACGCUGGCGGCGUGCCUAAUACAUGCAAGUCGAGCGAACGGACGAGAAGCUUGCUUCUCUGAUGUUAGCGGCGGACGGGUGAGUAACACGUGGAUAACCUACCUAUAAGACUGGGAUAACUUCGGGAAACCGGAGCUAAUACCGGAUAAUAUUUUGAACCGCAUGGUUCAAAAGUGAAAGACGGUCUUGCUGUCACUUAUAGAUGGAUCCGCGCUGCAUUAGCUAGUUGGUAAGGUAACGGCUUACCAAGGCAACGAUGCAUAGCCGACCUGAGAGGGUGAUCGGCCACACUGGAACUGAGACACGGUCCAGACUCCUACGGGAGGCAGCAGUAGGGAAUCUUCCGCAAUGGGCGAAAGCCUGACGGAGCAACGCCGCGUGAGUGAUGAAGGUCUUCGGAUCGUAAAACUCUGUUAUUAGGGAAGAACAUAUGUGUAAGUAACUGUGCACAUCUUGACGGUACCUAAUCAGAAAGCCACGGCUAACUACGUGCCAGCAGCCGCGGUAAUACGUAGGUGGCAAGCGUUAUCCGGAAUUAUUGGGCGUAAAGCGCGCGUAGGCGGUUUUUUAGUCUGAUGUGAAAGCCCACGGCUCAACCGUGGAGGGUCAUUGGAAACUGGAAAACUUGAGUGCAGAAGAGGAAAGUGGAAUUCCAUGUGUAGCGGUGAAAUGCGCAGAGAUAUGGAGGAACACCAGUGGCGAAGGCGACUUUCUGGUCUGUAACUGACGCUGAUGUGCGAAAGCGUGGGGAUCAAACAGGAUUAGAUACCCUGGUAGUCCACGCCGUAAACGAUGAGUGCUAAGUGUUAGGGGGUUUCCGCCCCUUAGUGCUGCAGCUAACGCAUUAAGCACUCCGCCUGGGGAGUACGACCGCAAGGUUGAAACUCAAAGGAAUUGACGGGGACCCGCACAAGCGGUGGAGCAUGUGGUUUAAUUCGAAGCAACGCGAAGAACCUUACCAAAUCUUGACAUCCUUUGACAACUCUAGAGAUAGAGCCUUCCCCUUCGGGGGACAAGGUGACAGGUGGUGCAUGGUUGUCGUCAGCUCGUGUCGUGAGAUGUUGGGUUAAGUCCCGCAACGAGCGCAACCCUUAAGCUUAGUUGCCAUCAUUAAGUUGGGCACUCUAAGUUGACUGCCGGUGACAAACCGGAGGAAGGUGGGGAUGACGUCAAAUCAUCAUGCCCCUUAUGAUUUGGGCUACACACGUGCUACAAUGGACAAUACAAAGGGCAGCGAAACCGCGAGGUCAAGCAAAUCCCAUAAAGUUGUUCUCAGUUCGGAUUGUAGUCUGCAACUCGACUACAUGAAGCUGGAAUCGCUAGUAAUCGUAGAUCAGCAUGCUACGGUGAAUACGUUCCCGGGUCU